GGCUGGCCGGGGGACCCGCUCCUGGAGGAGUCCCCGGGAGACGCCCCUGACUGACACAGGGGAAGCAGGAGCGGGCCCCUCCCAGCCGUUUUGGCUUCGGGGGUUGAUUUUGAGACUGAUUUUUCUUUAGCCUGCUUUGACCGAGCCCGGGCGUCGUCGGGUCUCUGCCAGCGCGCCCGGGGCCGGGGCACCGCGCAGCCCUCGAGGGAGCGUGGCAGUGGGUUGAGCAUCUCCUGGAAGGGGCCAGCUCCGUCUCCACGUCCCCUCUGCCCAGCCCCGGUGUCCCGGCUGGGUGCUGGGCAGGGGCAUUCUCGUUUGCAAGUCUUGCAAACACCCUCCUCCUCCCCCUCCCCGUGCUCGUUAGGAACACAGACGUGACGUCGGAUUUCAGAAAAUUAUUAGUUUUCCUAACUUGCCCGGAGGGUCCGGAAACAUGAAAUUUAAACAUCUUCGCAGCCAAUUUCCAAAGACCCUAGACACGUCUGUGCUGGCGUCAGUUUGAAGGGAAAAAAAACAACAACAACCCCACAGUUCCCAUGGAAAGGAAACGCCUCAUCUCAGUUGAUCACAUACAACAGAUGAUCCUCUUGUUUUGCAUCUGAAAAAAAAAUCGUCAGAUUUACAGCCCUCCCAAAUGGAGAUAAAACCUUGGCAAUGAGUUGGAAACCUGUUGUAAUCUGUGAUCCAGGAAACAAAGAGCCUCAUUAAUGCAGAGAUUUUGGUGAAAUGUUUUGUGAGUAUCACAGUGUGGAUCUUCAUCCUCACGGGGUGACGUCCUGGCUCUACUGAAGCCACUGGGAGCAUUGCCGUUGGGUCCAGGAUUCCACCCAUUAUUCUGUGAAAAGAAGCUUCAGAUUGAGAUGGCUGGAUCUAUUUAUCAGUGUUACCAGC